AUCUAUUUCAGCAGUGGCCUCACUCUUUCCUUAAGCUGAAAGGACCUGGGAUAUAAAUCCAUCUUUCACCAUGAGAAUCUUAUACCUUCUCUUCACUGCUUUAUUCACCCUUUUCCAGACAGUGCCAGAUGCUCUGCCUGGCUUCCCAACCCCUGUCCUUGUCCAUGCAGCCAGUAUUGCCUGAUCCCCACUACUGCAACCAGCGAGGGUAUCCAGCUCUAGUUCUACUAUGACUCUCCCAGGCCUGCCUCCUUGCCAUGAAUGAACAACUAUAGCCACUCAUAGUCUGUUGCUGGUAAUGGGUCUUCUUGGGAAAAGCGGUGCAGCAUAUGACCCUGGUUAAGAAGCUCCAGCUGGACCAGGGGAUCUUCCAUCCUCAUCAGGACUAGUUUCAACUUCAAACACUUGCUGAGCUUCUUUUUCUUUGUGCAGGGAGCGCUAGGGGGUUCUAUUAUGAGAGACCCUGUUAUCUCCGGGGGGGAGUCUGCCUAAAACGAGGAACACCAGGAUGUGUGCCUUUCAAGGGACCCUGCCGAGAAUUUACUGUUUGCUGCAAAAGGAA